rnacentral:lncRNA from 10 species
UGAGAUUCAGCAUUUCACCAGCCCAAGUUGUAGGAAAAACUCCAAGUGGCAGGGUUAUACCUGGUUCUCUUCAUCCUGCGUCUUUCCUCCACCAGGUAACCCCAGAUCCCAUGAGGUGGCAGUGUCACCAUUGCCCCAGCCCAGAGUCAUUUCAAGGAGGAGCAGGUCACUUCCUGAUUCCCAAAGCAUCUGCCUGUACCAUUGAAAACUUAUUCCUGCUCAGUGGUCUAAAAAGCGAUGCUGUCCAUUCUCAGAAAUGGAGCAGAAAGGCAAGAGAAAGGAAGCUGAUAUUUUGAAUGUCCACUACCUGGCAAGUACUGGACCAGCCACUUGCAUAUACAUUUUCUCAAUUAUUCCUCACAAAACCUGGAUGAGAUGGGUGCUAGCAUCUCCAUUUUGCUGAUGAAGGAACGGAGCCCACACACUGAGGAAAGGCCAUAUGAGCACACAGGAAGAAGACUGCCAUCUGCAAAUCAGGAAGACAAUCAUCAUCAAGAACUUACCAUGCUGGCACCCCGAACUUGGGCUUCUGUUGUUUAAGCCACCCAGUCUGAUAUUUUCUUAUAGCAGCCCAAGCUGACUAAGACAGGCAGUCAAGAAUUAAAAUCUGCUUGGAGGAGCACCAACAUACCCAUUUUAAAAACCUUAUUAUGUGAAAUGGCUACAGUUAUUUAAACUCAAGAAGAACAUGGAACAAGAAAGAGAAAUAAAGUCAGUGAGAUGAAUGGACUAAAAUAACCUAGCAGUUAAUGGAAUAAAUAGGAAUGAAGCCCCUUUUCCAGUGUUAGGGUCAGCCUGGGAUUUAUCAAGGCUCUAAACAAAAGGAAUUGAUCAUGAGAGGUUAGCAGAGACAUACGGGAAGCACUGCGAGAGUAUUCAGCACUAGUUGGAGAUUUGAAUUCUAACUUUAAAAUUCUGAGACUUUUGAUCUAUUAAUUUAUCCAUUUUCAUUGUUCUUUUGCUUUGACUAUAAAGAAACAAAAUAAGGCACAAUCAAGUGAAAUCUCUUGUCCAAGGUUCAUUCAUUUAAGACAUGUUAAGGUAUGAGAGAAUUUGAAGACAUAGGAGUUCCUGCUCACAAGGACAUAGAAUGUGGUAGGAAUGAUGUUCAGAAAAUCCAAGCAGUGAAAACCUGGGUUUGAAAAGACAUUGGGUAAAUAACUGUUAUAAGAUUGAAUGAAUGGGUGGAUGUAUUGAUGGAUGGACAGAUGGAUGGGUGAAUGAAUGAAUAAUACAGUGGUUGUUACAGAGGUUCACAGAAGGCUUGGGUCCUAAAGUGGCAGCCUCUGGCCAGGUUGAACCUAUUUGACCAUAGGCAUUGACCAUUCUCUGACAAACUGGUAGCACCCUGUGCCUGAUGGCUCCACUAUGAGCACCAGAUAAAUAUAGACAAUACUGUAUCUGCCUUUGCUUUCCUAACAGCACAGCCUCAGCUCCAGAAAUCAGGACCCUGACUGUCCCAUUGACUCUUGGUGAACAUUCUGAGCUCCAUUCUAUUCCCCUUGUCAUUACUAGGGGCCUGUUUAAUUUACCGAUUUAUUCACUUAUUUAUUCAAGAAAUAUUAAGUGCUUACUAUAUGCCAGGCACUGUUCUACCCUCCGAGGAUACAUUAGAAAGCAAAUGUGCUUCAGCUUCUGCUGAGUACAGACAGAAAAUAAACCAACAAACAAAGUAAGUACCUCAGUAGUAAGCACUAUGCACAAAAGGCAGGAGAGAGGGAUAGAGUAGGGUGAAGCUGAGAGCGCAAGGUUUAAAGGUGUGGCUGGGGAAGAUUCCACAGGAAGGAGACCUUUGAGCAGAGAUCUGAAGGAAUUGGCAGAGAGGCCCAUGCAGCUACCUGGAGGGAAGGUGCUCCAGCCAGAGGGAGGAGCAAGGUUCUGAGGUGGGAGUGUGCCUGGGAUGAUGGGGAAAGCAGUCGGUGGACCAUCACAUCAGGACCAAGGGAGUGACGGAGGAGGAGGACAUGAUGAAGAGGGAAGAGGGGAAGGACAGACCCGUGUAGGACCCUGGAGGCCCUAGGAAGGAUGUGAGCUUUUACCUUCAGCCAUUAAGUCUUGAUAGGAUUGCUCUGGCUGCUGGAUUGAGAUACUGAGAAGUGGGGGAGGCCCAAGCAGAAGCAAGGAAGCCAGGUGUUGAUCUGAUGAGCCUCUCGCUUUGGAAACUCGGGCUCAGCAUCUGCUCUGAAGAGACAAUCUGAGACAGCUGUUUCACAUUUCAGUCUCUAUGGGAUUACCGCCAAAUGACCAAUCUGACCAAUACAUCCAGUCUAAUGCAACCAUGGAGACUGUAUGAAGAUGUUGCUUCCCUACCUGCACCUCUGGCCCGAUUUACACAUAAGCACACUCACAAAGAUAUGUCUACAGGCUGCAUGGCUCUGUUAUUGACUACUGAAUGGUUUCCAGGCUGUCUUUGUCUCAAGGUCAAUCAGACUCAAGUUCCACUUUUUUUUUUCCUCUUGUAGGAAGAUUUCUUUAUUGGUAAGCUGAUUUAAAUUCCUUUGCAGAUAUUGAACCAAAUCUGCUCAGGCUGCAGCCUCCUGGGACCUUUCACUCUGGGCUAAAUAUAAAUAAAUACCCAUAUAGGACAGCUUUUGAUGAAACAUUAAAGAUCACUCUGGUUAUAUGGCUUCUAGAUUUUCUAUUUUCUGUAUGAAAAACCCAUGGCGGUAAAAAGAACCUUCGCCACGGAAAGGAAUAGAUUUGUAAAUUGCUGCCUAUGGACCUCCUGGGACUUAAUGGCACAGGGCAAAGAAGCAGCUGAGCUUGGCAAAGGAAGCAAGAUAAAUAAAAUUAGCCACCAAAUCAGCUCCUUUAAAAAUACCAGCUGUCAACUCCCUCCAGCGUUUAUGAAUUUGGGGGCAUGUUACUGUCACAUUGUGUCUCACCCAGGACCAAGCAGCAUUGCUCUUUUCAACUGGGAAAGGGUCCCUAACUCCCCUCACAGGGAAAGCUAAUGCAAAAAUUUGCCCUUUCUCUUUCACUCUGUCUCCCUUGUCAUGUGUGCAAGGAAGAAACCAAUCCAGGCCAACCAAGAGUUAUUGCUAUAAUGAUUAUACUUGUCAUUGUUUGUUCUUAAACUAUUCACCAAGUAAUCCCUUUAAAGGGUAGGGCUACUGGCU